rnacentral:rRNA from 1 species
GCACUGCCUGCCCGGUGACAUACUAAACGGCCGCGGUAUCCCCGUGAAGGUAGCAUAAUCAUUUGUUCUUUAAUUAAGGACUUGUAUGAAUGGCCACACGAGGGUUUAACUGUCUCUUACUUCUNAUCAGUGAAAUUGACCUUCCCGUGAAGAGGCGGGAAUAAUGAAAUAAGACGAGAAGACCCUAUGGAGCUUUAAUUAACUAACUCAAGAAAAUAACAUUAUCACCCGACAGGCAACAACACUACUAUAACUGAGCUAGCAAUUUCGGUUGGGGUGACCUCGGAGUACAAAAUAACCUCCGAGAGAUUUCAGUUAAGACCUACAAGUCGAAACUGUAAAAAUCAUAAUUGAUCCAAUUAACUUUGAUCAACGGAACAAGUUACCCUAGGGAUAACAGCGCAAUCCUAUUUAAGAGUUCAUAUCGACAAUAGGNUUUACGACCUCGAUGUUGGAUCAGGACAUCCCAAUGGUGCAACCGCUAUU